UAAAUACAAGAAAAAAAAAAAAUGGAUUUUUUUAUCAGCUUUUGAUUAUUACGCCACUUUUAGAAAUAAAAAAUGUGAAUUUGACAUUAUACCAAUUAUAUUUAAUGAACAAUAUGAAAUAUUAUAUAUCGGUGUGACUGUUUUUUUUAAAUAUAAUUUUUGGGAUGAGUAUAAAUCUUAUAAUUAUAACUACAUUGAAUUACUUUUUGACAACUUGGGAUUAAAUAAUGAAUUUUGGUAUGCUAAUAAUUUACCUGACCAUACAGUUACUAAUGCAAAUAAGUUUUUAAAAUUACUUAUAAAUAUAAAUGAUUUGAAAAAAAAAUAUUACGAAAACAAAAAAAAAAAUAGUACAGAAUAUAGUGAUACAAACAUAAUUGUCAGUACUACUACUAAUCAUGAUACAAAUAAUAAUAAUGUAAAUAAUAAUUAUAAUUAUUUUACAAUCACAAAAAAAAACAAAGAUCAUAUAAAUGGGAUGAUACUAGACGAGUCAUACAAUAUGGACGAGAAUGUCCGUUUUUUUAGUGAUGCAACCAGUAUUGAAAAUACAACGAAUAUUGAAAAUACAAGGAGCAGUAAUAAUAAUAACAAUAUCACUACUACAUGUAUCACUACUACAGGUAUCACUACUACAGGUAUCACUACUACAGGUAUCACUACUACAGGUAUCACUACUACAGGUAUUACUACUGGUAACACAACUAAUGAUAGUAAUGGCGACAUUUUUAUUAAACGAAACAAUGACAUGCAUACCCACAUGAAUAGUAAUAAUGAAAAUAACAUAAACAAAACACAAAUAAAUACAAAUAAUUUUUAUACAACUAGUAAGGGAUUAGUAUCAUAUGAUUGUAAAAAUAAAAACAAGUUUUACUUGUAUAGUAGUAUACAAGAAGAGAAGGAAGAAAUAAAUAAACAUAUACAUAUACAUAUACAGGAUAACGAAGAUAUAGCUAUGAUAGAAAGUAAAAGAGAAUCAACUUAUAUUGCAAAUAUAAAUGAACAUAGUAUAAACAAAUUAACUGAUAACAUUAAGACUAAAACUGAAAAUAACAACCAUGUUAGUGUUAGUAUUAAUACAUAUAACAAUUUUUUUAAUUUAACAGUAUAUAAUAAAACAAAUGCUAAUAGUAAUAACCUAAACUCAAGUAAUAACAUAAGAAUAGAAAAAGAGGUUUUGCAUGAAAAAGAUGAACAUCUGAAUAAGGAGGUUGCGUUUACGGGUGGUACAUAUACAGAUGUCUACAAUAACGAUAAUAAAACUAGAAUAUCGGAGUAUGAUAAAAAAAAAGAAAAACAAAAUAUAUUAAAGGAUAAAAUUUGCUUUGAGCAUAAUAAUAGUAAUAAUAAUAACAAUAAUAAUAACAAUGAAAAUAACAAUGAGAAUAUUAAUUAUAAAUAUACUUAUAGUAAUGAACAUAACAUACAAGUUACAAAUUCAACUAAAAGUGAAAAAUACUAUAAUAUGUCAUUAUUUGUACAGCAAGAAGAGAAUAAAAAUUAUAUCAAACGAAGUAGUAGCUAUGAAAAGAGUAGUCUAGUUUGUUGUACAUCAUUAGAAAAACAAAAACUGAUUGAAAAAAAUAAGUAUUCGUUUGAGCAUUUUAAAAAUGGAGAAAAUGGAAAGUUUGGAGAAAAUGGAAAAUAUGGAGAAAAGGAAAAACAUGCAGAACAAACAAUAAAUACAAAUUUAUUAGAUAAUAACAAAAGAUUAAGUUAUAAUAGUUACUACGAACAAGUAGAAGAUAGUUUUAAAAAGAAUGAAUAUAUAAAUAAUGAUAAUAAUAGUGGGAAUAAUGGUUAUAACAAGAGUAUGAGUACAGGUAGUAGUAGUAGUAGUAGUAGUAGUAGUGUACAUGUAAAAAUGAAAGAAGUUUAUAAAAAAAAUGUAAUUAUAAAUGUUAAUAAUAAUGCAGUAGACUACGAACAUGAGUGUCGUACUCACACUUAUG
rnacentral:lncRNA from 1 species